GAGGCGGCCUGACCAACCGCUGCUCUCUGUCUCAGGGCGGCGAGGGUGGCCGCGCUGUCGGCUGAAGAGAGAGAGAAAGGUGAGGGCGGUGUUGGGCAGGAGCAGGCGACGGCUGGCGGAGGAUGAGGCCGGAGGAGGAGUCAGCCGCGGCUUGGAGCGGCGAGGAGAAGGACAGAAGGAGGGAGAGAAGUCGAUGGGGAGGGAGAGAGGUUAAAGAGAGGACAGGGGGAGGCAGAGUCGCCGGCCUCCGGCGGCGGCGUGUCGUCUGGUGGCGGCGGCAGGAGGCCGAGAAGGG
rnacentral:lncRNA from 1 species